rnacentral:rRNA from 1 species
AACGAACGCUGGCGGCGUGCCUAACACAUGCAAGUCGAACGGGAAAGCCCGCAAGGGUGAGUACAGUGGCGCACGGGUGCGUAACACGUGGGUAAUCUGCCCAGAAGCCCGGAAUAACUCCCCGAAAGGGGUGCUAAUGCCGGAUGAGACCACGGGGACCUCGGUCCCUGGGGGAAAAGGUGGCCUCUGUAUACAAGCUAUCACAUCUGGCUGAGCCCGCGGCCCAUCAGCUAGUUGGCGGGGUAAUGGCCCACCAAGGCUACGACGGGUAGCUGGUCUGAGAGGACGAUCAGCCACACUGGAACUGAGACACGGUCCAGACUCCUACGGGAGGCAGCAGUGGGGAAUCUUGCGCAAUGGGCGAAAGCCUGACGCAGCAACGCCGCGUGUGUGAUGAAGGUCUUCGGAUCGUAAAGCACUGUCGGGAGGGACGAAUAAGGGCCGGGUGAACAAUCCGGUCCGACGACGGUACCUCCAGAGGAAGCACCGGCUAACUCUGUGCCAGCCGCCGCAGUAACAC